ACGAACGCUGGCGGCGUGCCUAAUACAUGCAAGUAGAACGCUGAAGGAGGAGCUUGCUUCUCUGGAUGAGUUGCGAACGGGUGAGUAACGCGUAGGUAACCUGCCUGGUAGCGGGGGAUAACUAUUGGAAACGAUAGCUAAUACCGCAUAAUAGUAGAUGUUGCAUGACAUUUGCUUAAAAGGUGCAAUUGCAUCACUACCAGAUGGACCUGCGUUGUAUUAGCUAGUUGGUGGGGUAACGGCUCACCAAGGCGACGAUACAUAGCCGACCUGAGAGGGUGAUCGGCCACACUGGGACUGAGACACGGCCCAGACUCCUACGGGAGGCAGCAGUAGGGAAUCUUCGGCAAUGGACGGAAGUCUGACCGAGCAACGCCGCGUGAGUGAAGAAGGUUGUCGGAUCGUAAAGCUCUGUUGUAAGAGAAGAACGAGUGUGAGAGUGGAAAGUUCACACUGUGACGGUAUCUUACCAGAAAGGGACGGCUAACUACGUG
rnacentral:rRNA from 1 species